rnacentral:rRNA from 1 species
AUUGAACGCUGGCGGCAGGCCUAACACAUGCACGUCGAAAGAGUGGCGGACGGGUGAGUAAUGUCUGGGAAACUGCCUGAUGGAGGGGGAUCACUACUGGAAACGGUAGCUAAUACCGCAUACCAUCGGUUGUGCCCAGCUGGGAUUUGCUUGUUGGUGGGGUAACGUCUCACCAAGGCGACGAUCCCUAGCUGGUCUGAGAGGAUGACCAACCGUACUAGGACUGUGACACGGUGCGGGCUCCUACAGGGCGCAGCAGUGGGGAUUGUUGGACAUAGGGGGCUGUCCUGAUGCAGCCAUGCCAAGUGUAUGAUAAAGGCCUUCGGGUUGUGAAGUACUCUCGGCGGGGAGGCGUUACGCGCAGAUGAAGCGCCGGCUAACUCCGUGCCAGCAGCCGCGGUAAUUC